UUGUAGAUGUGAUGUUUUUAUUUUUUGCAAUGAGAAGAAAUAUUAGUAUUAAAAAAGCCUUAAACCCAAAUCAAUACAAAUCAAGCUCACACGUCUAAAGAACAUCUGGCUAAAAGAACCAAAGGUCCAAAUAAAAUCUAAUCUUCCAAUGUACUUUAAGAUUAGACACAAGUCCAAAAUACAAAUAACAUGCCCAAAGCCUAUUCAACUAUCGGCCCACGGCCCUACACGAGAAAGGAAAUUACGGAAAUAUCUUAAAAUAUAUCGCUUCUAAAAUAAAAUCAUCUUUUCUUAUUGCCUCCUCCUCAGCCCAGUUUGUGGCCGAGAAGCAGUAAGCACAAAGAAGACAAGAGAGUUUACAACUGGACUAAUCCAUCAUACAUAGUAUCGAUCAGAUUUAAGCCACACCCAUCACAGAAAUAACAAUCCAAGAACAGGGCAGAGUUGACACAGAUCUAAUACCCUUAAUUGAUCCAACCAUAGUUGGACAGAGUUAGAUCCUCUGCCAAAUGUGAUGAGGCUCGGCAAAAAAGGAAAAUAGCUUUGCAAGGUUUCUGUCCGAGAAUGUUCAACACCAGCACCAAUAAUCUCUUCUCCCUUCCACUAAUAACCAUUAAAAGACAGCUCUCUACGAGAUUAAAGAAGAUAGGAGAGCCAAACAUAAAAAAAAGCAGCAUAUUCACCACAAAAAAUACCAAACCAACUACAACCAACGUAACACAAAUAAUUGUAAUAGACAAAAAUAAACAUAAAACCUAAUUUAUUACAAUAGAAAGAAAGGAAAAAUGGGAUUCUCUACUGAUGGUUAGAGCUUUCCUUACCGGAAAAUCUAAAAUAGGGUACAAAAAGAAGCACAAAAAGAUAUAUUUAUUAGAGAGAUAAUGAGAAUGAGGAAAAGAGAGAAAGGCUAGUAGUUUCUAAAGAAAAAUAAACACUUACUACAUGCGAUGAUGAUUUACUUGGUUGCAGUUACG
rnacentral:lncRNA from 1 species